UUUUGUGGGGUUUGGGAUUUUUUUGGUAGUCUGGGUGAGGUCUGGAACCUACCUGCAAAAACUGGAUACAGUAGGAGCAGCACCAAUGGUGGUUACGCUCUAGGACUUAACCAGCACUCCAUGGUAAAGCAAGGUGCUAAAAGGGGGCAGAUUCGGGAGUAAAGCAAGUUGCUGGCAGGGGACAGGGGUAAAAGCCAGUUCCUGUGAUGUCUGAAUGCGGCCUGUCAGUCCUUCACCUCUGGCCUGACUGGGAUCUUCCUCAGCAGAAUGUUCUGCCAGGGAGAAAUGCGGUGGACGUGGGGCGGAGGAUGACUAAAGAGGCUAAAGUGGGUGAAAUUUGAAAGCAGCACAUUUCCCACUGAUGUCACUUUGUGCAGCAGAGGUGAAAAGAACUCUCUCACAACUCUCCACGGUCCACCUUAGGCAGAGAGAAAAAAGUAUGCCCAAAGUAAGUCCCCUUUACAUAUCUGGAUGAUCCAGUCCUGGGCUUUAUCCGGAAUACAAUUCAAACUCUAUGGUUAAGGGCGGGGGACUCCAUAUUGUAAUUCAGAUAAUUCACCUCAUUGUGUGAUAGUGACCACCGCAUAUUCUAAAUCCUACAUUACAUCUAAUAUUUAAAUCCAGGGUACAGAAUGUAUGAUUUUCCAUUUGGAUGAUCAUUUGUACACGGGUAGAGGAAUCUAAUCACACGUUGAAAGCAUCAUCUGAACUGGCCUGGUUAAGAAAGUUUAGAGUUGCAGCCGUAGUUCUGCAACAGAAACAAAGAACCAACAGUUCAUCUAGGACUCUUUUGUAAUACUGACCAAAAACCAAGUCCUUCCAAACAGUGUGGAAAUACAACAGAACAGAAAUACAUAUUGAAGGAGAAGCCUAUAUUAUCCACUUGCCAUUCAUUCCCUUUAGAAUUAGGAAGACAGAGUGUAAGGUUGUGUUUGACUAUAGUAUAUAUUAUAUACUUUAUAUGCUUAGAAAGAUGUAAUAGGGGAAAAAUCUACAGAGCUAGACUAUUCUUUUGCAAAAAGUCAGCAAAAAAUGCCUUUUUUAUACCUCAGAUCAGCUGAAACUGCAGUUCAAUAUUCUACAAAACCAAUUUUAUGUCCCAGCACAAAUAUACAUUUUCCAGGCAUUGAGGUUCCACAUACACACACACGUUCCUCGAGCAAUUGCUUAAACAUUGGUUUGCAAAAGUAAUAAAAAAUGCAGGGUCGAUGCACUAGUUUUAUUUUCAUUGAAAUGUCGAGUCAUCUACAAAACUGGGGAAAUUAAAAUGUUCUAUGCCAGUUGAUUAACUUUCCUCCAUUCCCCA